AGACGUCUACAUUAGAUACCCGCGUAGUCCCAGCCGUAAACUAUGCGCGUUAGGUGUAUCGGUGACCACGAGUUACCGAGGUGCCGAAGGGAAACCGUGAAACGUGCCGCCUGGGAAGUACGGUCGCAAGGCUGAAACUUAAAGGAAUUGGCGGGGGAGCACCACAACAGGUGGAGCCUGCGGUUUAAUUUGGACUCAACGCCGGGAAGCUCACCGGAUAGGACAGCAGAAUGAUUGCCGGGCUGAAGACCCUGCAUGACUAGCUG
rnacentral:rRNA from 1 species